rnacentral:lncRNA from 1 species
CGCUACGGGACUCAACGGACGUACCGAGGGAACGCCCACGACUGGUCCUGCUCCUCAGGCCGGACGCGCCUCGCUUCGGCUCGGCCAAGCCCAAGGUUCCCACUGGCCCGGACCUUUGGUCCUGCCUUGCAACGGCUUCUGUUUUUUGUGGACUCUAUACUGAUUUCCAUAAUGGUUGACUAGUUCAUGUUCCCACCAACAAGGAGAUAGUAGAAGGACUCUCCCACCCGGCCUCACCAGCAUUUGCCCCUUGUGGUUCCGGAAUAACCUCGCCUCACUUGGAUUCCUCUCCAGGCUGUUGUUUUCAGACUACACAGCUUGUCUUGGAGAGUGCUGGCGCUCACUGCUCCGCCAUUUCAGCUUCCUCACGUUCGUCGCUGCAUUAUUUAUAGAUAGAACUUUGAAGAAAAUAUUUGAAUAUGUCACGUAUGCAUUGAACAAGUACUGUUAACAGUGAACUUUGCUCUUACAGACUUGAUCAUGAGUUCCAUGAGUUUUUGCCAGAAGUCAAAGAGAAAUACCUUGAUUUGUCCCACCACGUGGAAAUGUAAAGACUUAUCAAAAUUUGGAGUUUUAGGGGCCAGGGAUUUAGCUCAGUGGUUCUCGCACCUGCCUCACAAGCACAAGGUCCUGAGUUCAAUCCCGGUACUCAAAGAAAAAUUUUGAAGUUUUAAUACUGAUACUUUGAACUCAGGGCCAAGAUUUAAUUUUUUUC